CCCCCUACGGGAGGCAGCAGUGGGGGAUAUUGGACAAUGGGGGGAACCCUGAUCCAGCGACGCCGCGUGAGUGAAGAAGUAUUUCGGUAUGUAAAGCUCUGUCAGCAGGGAAGAAAGAAAUGACGGUACCUGACCAAGAAGCCCCGGCUAACUACGUGCCAGCAGCCGCGGUAAUACGUAGGGGGCAAGCGUUAUCCGGAAUUACUGGGUGUAAAGGGAGCGUAGGCGGCUGUGUAAGCCAGAAGUGAAAGCCCGAGGCUCAACCACGGGACUGCUUUUGGAACUACAUGGCUUGAUUGCAGGAG
rnacentral:rRNA from 1 species